rnacentral:lncRNA from 1 species
GCACAGAGAAGGUUUUUGGAAGGAAAGCCAGGAUGAUGAAAUCACCAUAUGUCCACCAUUUGGAGCUCUGGACUUUUCAAAGGACACACCCCUGGCCAUUCGCAGAAGCCCACAUGGAGUCCACGGCAGGCUGGCUUUUCCCCGUCCCCUGUACUUAGCAUCUGGGUGCCACAUGUUGUCCUUCUGCUGCCCAGCACUGGCCUAGGCCUGGAACCUGGAUAAAUGCAAGCUUGGAACAAGGAUGGGACAAAAUGAACACAGGACCAAACAGAAUCAAGCACCAGAUGGGCGGGGAGUGCCCAGGGCCAGUCCCAGCUCUGCUCACGCAGGCCUCAGCAGGACUCAGUUUCCCCUCUGCUGUACCAUGUGGGGAUGGAGUCUGAAGGGCUGGGCAGAGGGUGGUGGAUCUUAUCUGAGGACUCGGCAGUGCCCAAGGUUCACACAGGGAGUGACCCAGAGGCCUCUCCAGUUGGCCCUUGACUGCUGAC